CUCGGGCCGAACACCCCGAGCCUUGCACCCGCCAGGCUCAACCUCAUUUCACAGGACCCCCGACUUGUAUGAAUCGUACACCGCUCUUUACCGUCUCUGCACCUAGGUCGUCUCGGCAGUAAAAUGGGGUAAAAUGACCCGAGCUCCCCGGAGGACGCCGCGCACGAUGUGUGCCUCAAGUUGGCUUCUUCCACUGACCUGAAUGUUAAGAAAGCCGUCCUCUCGGUCUCAAAAAAGAAAGAAAGAAAGUCGUCCUCAGUGACGCUCUCCCUGAAUCCACAGUGGAGAUUACCGUUUCCCUGGAACUAAUUCACUCACGCUUAUCCAUUACAUCGCUUUCCUUUAUUUCUAUCUUUCUACCCCACUGGUCUCCAGAAUAGGUGCUUGAGAAGUUAAAUUUACCAAGAUGAUGUCAGUACAGCUAGUGAGAUGCAGCACGCCAUCUUCAGCCCCCUUGCCUCCGGAAGAGACACCAGACAGCAAAGGGCACACCGCGUACAGAAGCUAACAGAACUUGAAUGACAAGACAAAAAGAGCAGAACCAGUUAGUGCGACACAACAUUCUAACAUGCCUGAUUGUUACAUCACAUAUGGGAACUUAGGGGCUGGUGGGGGAAGACAAACAAGGAAAAUCCAUUUAGAAACAAUCUGAUGAAGUUUGCAAACCAGCACUUUACCCCUAAAUUAACAACAGCUUGUAUGGAAAAAAAAUGCUAUUUUAAAAGUAUAUGGUUUGGACAGGUA